rnacentral:rRNA from 1 species
CUGGUUGAUCCUGCCAGUAGUCAUAUGCUUGUCUCAAAGGUUAAGCCAUGCAUGUCUGAGGUCGUCCCCUACGGCAAGGGACAACCCGCGAACGGCUCAUUAGAUCAGUCUCGGUUCACUUGGCGAUGACGGCCCUCCCGGGUCGGUUUACGGAUAACUGUGGCAAAUCCAGAGCUAAUACGUGCUACCGAGCCCCGAUCCGCGACCCGCCCUCGGGUCGCGCGUGACCGGGCGCUUUUAUUAGAUCCGACCGGCGUCCCGCCACCCGGCGGUGACAACGCGAGGUGAACUCUGGGUAACUCAGCGGACCGCUCGGUCCUACCGGACCGCGGCGUGCUCAUCAAGCGUCUGCCCUAUCAAAUGUCGACGGUCGGUCACGCGCCUACCGUGUUGACCACGGGUGACGGGGAAUCGAGGUUCGGUUCCGGAGAGGGAGCCCGAGAAACGGCUACCACAUCCAAGGAAGGCAGCAGGCACGCAACUUACCCACUCCUAGCGCGGGGAGGUAGUGACGGGAAAUAGCGGUACGGGUCCCGUGUUGGGACCCGCGGUCGGAAUGAGUUCAGUCCAAACCCCUGAAGCGAACUCUAUCGGAGGGCAAGUCUGGUGCCAGCAGCCGCGGUAAUUCCAGCUCCACUAGCGUAUAUUAAAGUUGCUGCAGUUAAAAAGCUCGUAGUUGGAUCUCGGAACCGGCCGAUUGGUCCGCCCUCUGGGUUGUGUACUGAUCGGUCUGUUCUUCUUCGCGAAGACCGCGUGUGCACUUAACUGUGUGUGCGUGGGAUUCACGACGUUUACUUUGAAAAAAUUAGAGUGUUCAAAGCAGGCAUUCGCUUGAAUAUCUCAGCAUGGAAUAAUAGAAUAGGACUUUGGUCUUAUUUUGUUGGUUUCCGAGACCGAAGUAAUGAUUAAUAGGGACAGUUGGGGGCAUUCGUAUUUCAUUGUCAGAGGUGAAAUUCUUGGAUUUAUGAAAGACGAACUUCUGCGAAAGCAUUUGCCAAGGAUGUUUUCAUUAAUCAAGAACGAAAGUUGGAGGCUCGAAGACGAUCAGAUACCGUCGUAGUUCCGACGGUAAACGAUGCCGACCCGCGACGCGGAGAGGGCUACGGGCCCGUCCGCGACCCCCCGGGAAACCAGAGUCUCUGGGUUCCGGGGGGAGUAUGGUCGCAAGGCUGAAACUUAAAGGAAUUGACGGAAGGGCACCACCAGGAGUGGGACCUGCGGUUUAAUUUGACCCAACACGGGAAAUCUCACCCGGUCCGGACACUGCGAGGAUUGACAGACCGACGCUCUUUCUUGAUUCGGUGGGUGGUAGUGCAUGGCCGUUCUUAGUUGGUGGAGCGAUUCGUCUGGUUUAAUUCCGAUAACGAACGAGACCCCAUCCUGCUAACUAGCCCUCGGGUCCGGCUUCUGGCGGGCCCGACGGAAUGACUCGCUUCUUAGAGGGACUCGCGGCGCCUAGCCGCACGAAGGGGGGCGAUAACAGGUCUGUGAUGCCCUUCCGGCCUGCUAGUUAGCGUGCGGGUGACGGGCGCGCGCCGUCGUCCCGACGGACCCUCUCGGGCGGUCGGCCCGGACGACCCCUCGCGGGUCGGCCGGCGCUUGUCCGUCCUGGGCCCGACGGGCGCGGCGCCGCCACACCCGCUUGACCCGGUGAUCCGGCUUCUUAGAGGGACGGGCGUUGGCCAGACGCACGAAAAGGAGCGAUAACAGGUCUGUGAUGCCCUUAGACGUCCGGGGCUGCACGCGUGCUACACUGAGGAAUUCAGCGCGGUCCGCCCGCCCGGCCCGGAAGGUGUCGGGUAAUCUGCUGAAUCUCCCCCGUGUCUGGGAUCGGAGCUUGACCACUGUGCCCCGUGAACGAGGAAUUCCCUGUAGGCGCGGGUCAUAACCCCGCGCCGAAUACGUCCCUGCCCUUUGUACACACCGCCCGUCGCUACCAUCGGUGGACGGUCGUGCGAGGACCUCGGACCGCGCGUCGCCGGUGACGGUCGGCGCGUGGGAAGACGUCCGAUCGCGGUCGCUUGGAGAUAGUAAAAGUCGUAACAAGGUUUCCGUAGGUGAACCUGCGGAAGGAUCAGUA